AGAACGAACGCUGGCGGCAGGCUUAACACAUGCAAGUCGAACGGUUGUAGCAAUACAGCAGUGGCAGACGGGUGAGUAACACGUGGGAACCUUCCUAGGGGUACGGAACAACUCAGGGAAACUUGAGCUAAUACCGUAUACGUCCGUGAGGAGAAAGAUUUAUCGCCCCUAGACGGGCCCGCGUAGGAUUAGGUAGUUGGUGAGGUAACGGCUCACCAAGCCUACGAUCCUUAGCUGAUCUGAGAGGAUGAUCAGCCACACUGGGACUGAGACACGGCCCAGACUCCUACGGGAGGCAGCAGUGGGGAAUCUGGACAAUGGGCGCAAGCCUGAUCCAGCCAUGCCGCGUGAGUGAAGAAGGCCUUCGGGUUGUAAAGCUCUUUUACCAGGGACGAUAAUGACGGUACCUGGAGAAUAAGCCCGGCAAACUUCGUGCCAGCAGCCGC
rnacentral:rRNA from 1 species